CGGCGGACGGGUGAGUAAUGCCUAGGAAUCUGCCUGGUAGUGGGGGACAACGUUUCGAAAGGAACGCUAAUACCGCAUACGACCUACGGGUGAAAGCAGGGGACCUUCGGGCCUUGCGCGAUUGAAUGAGCCGAUGUCGGAUUAGCUAGUUGGCGGGGUAAAGGCCCACCAAGGCGACGAUCCGUAGCUGGUCUGAGAGGAUGAUCAGCCACACUGGAACUGAGACACGGUCCAGACUCCUACGGGAGGCAGCAGAC
rnacentral:rRNA from 1 species